GAUGAAGAACGCAGCGAAAUGCGAUACUUGGUGUGAAUUGCAGAAUCCCGUGAACCAUCGAGUCUUUGAACGCAAGUUGCGCCCGAAGCCAUUAGGCCGAGGGCACGCCUGCCUGGGCGUCACACGUCGUUGCCCCCCCAUCUACUCCUUCGGGAUUGCGGGGGGCAGAUGAUGGCCUCCCGUGCGCCUCGUCGCGCGGUUGGCCUAAAUGCCAAGUCCUCGGCGACGCACGCCACGACAAUCGGUGGUUGCGAAACCUCGGUUGCCUGUCGUGUGCGGUCGUCGCGCAUCGAGGGCUCGAAAAAAUUGCCGGGCUUCGGCUCGACUUUCAACGCGACCCCAGGUCAGGCGGGGUUACCCGCUGAAUUUAAGCAUAUCAAUAAGCGGAGGA
rnacentral:misc_RNA from 1 species